CCCUUAGAUGUUCUGGGCCGCACGUGCGCUACACUGAUGCAUUCAACGAGUCUAAAACCUGCUCUGAUAGGGGUGGGUAAUCUUUUGAAUGUGCAUCGUGAUUGGGAUAGAUGAUUGCAAUUUUUCAUCUUCAACGAGGAAUGCCUAGUAAACGCAAGUCAUCAGCUUGCAUUGAUUACGUCCCUGCCCUUUGUACACACCGCCCGUCGCUCCUACCGAUUGAAUGAUACGAUGAAUAUCAUGGAUUGAGGAUGCAAGUAGGUUCGCCUAUCUUCAUCUUCGAGAAGUGAAGUAAAUCUUAUCAUUUAGAGGAAGGAGAAGUCGUAACA
rnacentral:rRNA from 1 species